rnacentral:lncRNA from 1 species
GAGCCGAACACGAGCUAGCUCCCUUAUUUGCCUUGCUUGUCCUAGUCGAGUGUACCCUCCGGGAUCUCAUAAACUGCACCUAAAAUUAGAUUUUGACAUUUUUAGAUAAAAAAAGUUAAAAAGGUAUCGAAUUUAUUUAAACUAUAGAGAUCAUUUUGAAAAAUUUUAAUUUUAGUACUUGAUCUUUUAAUUUGCUUGAUUUGAAUUAAUAAACGGUAUUUUGAUUUAAUUUUAAUUACGAGAAUUGCAUGAAGCAUGUUAACUAAAUAUACAAAAAUAAAUGAGACAUUCAAAAUUUAAAGUAAAAAUAUUGAUGACGGACUAAAUUUAAACAUAUUGAAAGGUUGCACAGUAAAAAUAAAAUUUUAAAAGAUUGGGCAACUGAAUUAAAAUGGUCCAUAAUUUAUGUAAGUUAUGUACACUUUUAUCUAAAAGGAAAAGCUAAUUUAAUAGAGUUUAUAUAUGAA